GCAGUGCGCAAAGCCAUAUUCGCGAAGGCUCUGGGGCCAAGCCAGUGGCGUAAGGGCGGCGGGCCGGCGCGCUGCGGGACUCUUGCGUAGCGCCGGGAGCCCAGUGAGUGUGCGCCGCCGGGCCGCCUGGUCUUCCUGGGCCGGCGCUUUGUUCCGGAGUCCCAGCCUCAUGCUUGCAUAGAAGAACCUUUUCCUCGCCUCUCCUCCCUGACCCGCCCGGGCCUGGCGUCCUGAGGGCUCGGCGUGGCCUUGCGGCCUGGCCUCGGUUUAGCGUCUGGGAGCUUUGCUGAAGAGAGGGACGUGUGCCCAUCGAUAGGAAUGCGUUCUGUUUGUUGGUCCUCCAUCUGCAGAGUAACGAGAAAAGGAUCAAAGGAAGGGCUUUGUAUCCCAGGCUAGAGGCAGCUUUAACUCAAAUGCUCGGCCUGCUGUCACCGAGCUUGACCCAGACAGUAUACUAGGCUGGCUUGAGAAGUGUUUGCAGAGCGCGGGCAUUUGGAAAUUGCAAAGUCAUUUUUUAAAGUUUUUCCUUCAUUUUUAACAAACAUUAAAGACGGGCAGCGCAGUGCUUUCAUUUUAUUUAAGGGCUAUAUAGGAAAAUGAAGCAUUUCAAACUAUACUUCCAGGUGGUAUUUUAAAAGAUGGGUUAUGUAUGUAUGCCACAGUAUGCAACAUUUUAGCUUUCCAAAAAUGAAGGUAUGUAAACGAGAAAUGUCCCAUCUCUGUUAAGCAUGCAUUUUUUUUUUUCAAUAAGAUGGGUUACUAAACUAAAGCACGUGUGUUUUCAACAGUCAUGGCUUGGAAUUCAUUCCCAAGAGCUGGGUUUUCAAAGACCCAAACGUAAUUUGGCAUGUCUUGGUGUUGAAAGCCCUAGUUCUUAAAUAGAAUUUUCAGCAGACAAUUGUACUUUCCUUAGUAUUUAAGUCUGCUGAAAAGUGUGGCUUUGAAGGUUUAUAAUUCUAGUAAACUUAGGUCUUUGCCUUAGAAUUAAUGCUAUUAAAUAAACUUUCACUUAAACUAAAAACUGUAAAAACCAUUUUUAUUUGGGGGUUAAGUGUAAAAAAGAAAAGCAUUUUUUAGGAGAGGGGCAAUUUUUUUCAAUAUAAGAGAUUUUGCUUUGUAUAUAUAACUUGUAUGGCUUUAUAACUAGUAGAAAUAUAUACUGUGAUAUUUUAGUUUUUCACAAGUGAUUUACAUUCAUUAUGAUACACUAAAGACAUCUGUGUGCUAGAAACACAGUGGUCCAAAAACUCAAUACUCACUAUACUAGUGUAUGUGUCAAAUAGCCACUUGGUCUAAAACAUGGAUAUUCUAAAUACAAAGGACUAGAAUGUAAAUAUAUCCUAAUAUAUUUAUAUUAUGCAUAUAUCUAAUAAAUAAAACAGAAACUAAAA
rnacentral:lncRNA from 1 species